GGGCGCUUGGUCUAGGGGUAUGAUUUUCGUUUCGCAUACUACUUUAGUAUUCUAUGAAAGGUCGUGGGUUCAAUUCCCACAGCGUGUA